rnacentral:rRNA from 1 species
UAAUACGGAGGGUGCAAGCGUUAUCCGGAUUCACUGGGUUUAAAGGGUGCGUAGGUGGGCAGGUAAGUCAGUGGUGAAAUCUCCGGGCUUAACCCGGAAACUGCCAUUGAUACUAUCUGUCUUGAAUACCGUGGAGGUGAGCGGAAUAUGUCAUGUAGCGGUGAAAUGCUUAGAUAUGACAUAGAACACCAAUUGCGAAGGCAGCU